AAAUUCUAUUUUUCUACCAAAGUCAAUAGAUUCUAUUUAGGUACAUCCUACUCCAAAUAGUGAACCUGAACCCACUGAAGCCAACAUACAUAGCAAGGAUCCGAAUGGCUAGGGAUCAAGAGAAUGUGCAGUCAAACUCAGUAGCCUCGCUGCAAAUAGCCAAUGACAUCGUAGGUCAAAAGAUCACUCACACCACUGC
rnacentral:lncRNA from 1 species